rnacentral:rRNA from 1 species
GAUGAACGCUGGCGGCGUGCCUAAUACAUGCAAGUCGAGCGAACAGAUGAGAAGCUUGCUUCUCUGAUGUUAGCGGCGGACGGGUGAGUAACACGUGGGUAACCUACCUAUAAGACGGGGAUAACUCCGGGAAACCGGGGCUAAUACCGGAUAAUAUUUUGAACCGCAUGGUUCAAUAGUGAAAGACGGUUUCGGCUGUCACGUAUAGAUGGACACGCGCCGUAUUAGCUAGUUGGUAAGGUAACGGCUUACCAAGGCGACGAUACGUAGCCGACCUGAGAGGGUGAUCGGCCACACUGGAACUGAGACACGGUCCAGACUCCUACGGGAGGCAGCAGUAGGGAAUCUUCCGCAAUGGGCGAAAGCCUGACGGAGCAACGCCGCGUGAGUGAUGAAGGUCUUCGGAUCGUAAAACUCUGUUGUUAGGGAAGAACAAAUUUGUUAGUAACUGAACAAGUCUUGACGGUACCUACCCAAAAAGCCACGGCUAACUACGUGCCAGCAGCCGCCGUAA